AAGAGAGGAAGAAACAAAGAAGGAGGGGGAAAGAUAAAAAAAGAGGGCCGCAUUCUUGUUGGUCCUGUGUCCGUUGGCAGAUUUGUCUUUCUUUUCUUUCUUUUUCCU
rnacentral:ribozyme from 11 species